UUUUAACACGAAGUGAGUGGCGAACGGGUGAGUAACACGUGGGUAACCUGCCCAGAAGUAGGGGAUAACACCUGGAAACAGAUGCUAAUACCGUAUAACAGAGAAAACCGCAUGGUUUUCUUUUAAAAGAUGGCUCUGCUAUCACUUCUGGAUGGACCCGCGGCGUAUUAGCUAGUUGGUGAGGUAAAGGCUCCCAAGGCAGUGAUACGUAGCCGACCUGAGAGGGUAAUCGGCCACAUUGGGACUGAGACACGGCCCAGACUCCUACGGGAGGCAGCAGUAGGGAAUCUUCCACAAUGGACGCAAGUCUGAUGGAGCAACGCCGCGUGAGUGAAGAAGGGUUUCGGCUCGUAAAGCUCUGUUGUUAAAGAAGAACGUGGGUAAGAGUAACUGUUUACCCAGUGACGGUAUUUAACCAGAAAGCCACGGCUAACUACGUGCCAGCAGCCGCGGUAAUACGUAGGUGGCAAGCGUUAUCCGGAUUUAUUGGGCGUAAAGCGAGCGCAGGCGGUCUUUUAAGUCUAAUGUGAAAGCCUUCGGCUCAACCGAAGAAUGCAUUGGAAACUGGGAGACUUGAGUGCAGAAGAGGACAGUGGAACUCCAUGUGUAGCGGUGAAAUGCGUANAUAUAUGGAAGAACACCAGUGGCGAAGGCGGCUGUCUGGUCUGCAACUGACGCUGAGGCUCGAAAG
rnacentral:rRNA from 1 species